GUGGGAGGAAGAACAGCUGGUAUGUCACGAGCCGGGGCAGAGUCCUGCGAGGCGGAGGUCUGGGGCUUGAUCCUGCUGGUGCCAGGCUCACCACCACGUUCUCCGUAUCCGCCCAGGUGUGGUGCUGUGGGCUUCCAAAGAUUUACCCACUUACAAAGCUUCACGGAAACAAAAGAAGAAAAUGUGGCUAUAACCUGAGGGCCUUUGUUGGAAAACAAUUACAAACCAUGACUGUGGCCGUGUCCCAGCUGAGCACUUCCCGGAGUUGCCGUGGCACCUUGGGUUGGGUCCCCCAGGACAGAACUGAGAGGUGCUCACCUUUCUGGGAGAAGAAAAUGAUUAACAAAUGAUUCGUGAGUGUCUGAGGGGGGAAAAGACCCUUCUUGGCCGGACACUCCCACCUGUGCUUCUGAAUGCAGAGCGCUCGUAUGACGAGAAAUCUGAGAUAGGUUAAUGUUCGUGUUGAUUACUCAUUGACUUACUAAUUGCUACUGAUUUUUUGUACACCACUUGCGUAGCCUUCACGUGCACAUUAAUAUUCUUGUCUAGUGAUCAUUUGUUGUGACUGACACGGGGACUAACUGUCAGGGCUGCCGGGAUGACCCAUUUUUAGUGUGAAAUGACGAUUCAGACAACACUGCGGGGGGACCUCGGGUUUCUUUCACCUCUUUCAGCUGAACCCCUCACAUGGGUGAAACCGGGGCAGAGGGUUCUUCUGGUGGUGGGUGAGGGUCAGCUUCAGCAUCAGCCUCAACAUCAUCAUCAUCAGCUGUGCAGGGAGUGCUUUCCGAUGGCACCCGUGUUGAGGGACGUGUCACACCUCACUGUAUGCAUUAAAAAGUUCGAUUUGAUGGUCAGGUGUGGUCCUCUGAGAAGAAUUCUUUGAAUGUUGGCUUCUCGUGUAUGAAGCUUUUCUUCCCAAAUACCACAACUCAUGACUGUGGUUAUCUUCAUUUGGGAUUAUCCCUUGGAGCUGUUGGUUUGCAAAUCCCGACGGAUGUGCUGACUUGGUAGCAGCACUUUAAAGCCAGUUGGAAAGGAGAGGUGGUCGUCCUGUGACUGGUGUGGCAUCAGCCAGGCCUGAGGUACUCAGAGACAACACCUGGGAGCUGAGGGAGCAACCCGGGGAGUGCCUGGAUCAGCAGCGAUGGGUGGAUCUCGGAGCUGGAGGGUCCACAGCAACUGUGCUUAUGAAUGAGCCUUGGGAAAAACGCAAUGGCUGCGUAUAUGAAAACCUAAAACCUGCAUAAAAACGUUAGCUCAGAAAAAAAAACGAGCGAUGAGGAAUUACGGGGAAAUUCACAGCCAGCUCAAUCUGCUCGAUCUACGGUUGUACAUCUGGAAAUGUCCCACCUGAAGGCCUGCGCAAGGAAGCCCGAGGUACGAGCUUUUUCUGUCUGUGUUGGUUAGUCGCCUUGUUGCUGCAGAAACUCCGCUGGUUUAUCACUCAUGAGAGCAAACCCCUCUUUCAUCUGCUCUUCCACUUGCUGUAAACUCCUUUUCUGCAUGCGAGCUGAGGGAAGAAUACCAAGAGACAGCCUUAAUUAAGAUAUGCUGGAGCAAAGCUAAUUUUCAGGGU